ensembl:misc_RNA Metazoa_SRP Metazoan signal recognition particle RNA
GCUGGGCGCGGUGGCUCACGCCUGUAAUCCCAGCACUUGGGGAGGCCGAGAUGGGUGGAUCACCUGAGGUCAGGAGUUUGAGACCAGCCUGGCCAACAUGGUGAAACCCCAUCUCUA